rnacentral:rRNA from 1 species
AACGAACGUUAGCGGCGCGCCUAACACAUGCAAGUCGAGCGAGAAGGGAGCAAUCCCAGUAAAGCGGCGCACGGGUGAGUAACACGUAGGUAAUCUACCUCGAGGUGGCGGAUAACCUUCCGAAAGGAGGGCUAAUACGGCAUGAGACCACGUCCUCGAAAGAGGGUGAGGUAAAAGCGGGCCUCCAUACAUGAGCUCGCGCCACGAGAUGAGCCUGCGGCCCAUCAUGGUAGUUGGUAGGGUAACGGCCUACCAAGCCGAAGACGGGUAGCUGGUCUGAGAGGAUGAUCAGCCACACUGGAACUGAGACACGGUCCAGACUCCUACGGGAGGCAGCAGUGGGGAAUCUUGCGCAAUGGGCGAAAGCCUGACGCAGCGACGCCGCGUGAGUGAUGAAGGCCUUCGGGUUGUAAAGCUCUGUGGAGGGGGACGAAUAAGGGUUGGCUAACAUCCAGCUCGAUGACGGUACCCCUUACGCAAGUGAAGCCAGCGCUAACUCUGUGCCAGCAGCCGCGGUAAGACAGAGGGUGC